rnacentral:rRNA from 1 species
CCUACGGGAGGCAGCAGUGGGGAAUCUUGCGCAAUGGGCGAAAGCCUGACGCAGCAACGCCGCGUGCGGGAAGAAGGCUUUCGGGCUGUAAACCGCUUUCAGCAGGAACGAAAAUGACGGUACCUGCAGAAGAAGGAGCGGCCAACUAUGUGCCAGCAGCCGCGGUGAUACAUAGGCUUCAAGCGUUGUCCGGAUUUAUUGGGCGUAAAGAGUUCGUAGGCGGUCGAGUAAGUCGGGUGUGAAAAUUCUGGGCUCAACCCAGAGACGCCACCCGAUACUGCUUGACUUGAGUUCGAUAGGGGAGUGGGGAAUUCCUAGUGUAGCGGUGAAAUGCGCAGAUAUUAGGAGGAACACCGGUGGCGAAGGCGCCACUCUGGAUCGAUACUGACGCUGAGGAACGAAAGCAUGGGUAGCAAACAGGAUUAGAUACCCCUGGUAGUCCAUGCUAGUAAACGGUGGGCACGUAGGUGUGGGUUUCUAUUAACGAAAUCCGCGCCGUCGCUAACGCAUUAAGUGCCCCGCCUGGGGAGUACGGCGCAAGACUAAACUCAAAGGAAUUGACGGCNGAGAGNGCGACGACGACGACGAGGAGAGG